rnacentral:rRNA from 1 species
CAGUAGCCACGGUAAUACAGAGGGUGCAAGCGUUAAUCGGAAUUACUGGGCGUAAAGCGCGCGUAGGCGGUUUGUUAAGUUGGAUGUGAAAUCCCCGGGCUCAACCUGGGAACUGCAUCCAAAACUGGCAAGCUAGAGUAUGGUAGAGGGUGGUGGAAUUUCCUGUGUAGCGGUGAAAUGCGUAGAUAUAGGAAGGAACACCAGUGGCGAAGGCGACCACCUGGACUGAUACUGACACUGAGGUGCGAAAGCGUGGGGAGCAAACAGGAUUAGAUACCCCUGUAGUCCCUGUCUCUUAUAC